AUGGCAGCAAACGCGGCGCCUUCGCCGCUCCCGCUCGACGGCCGCGUCGCGCUCGUCACGGGCGGCUCCCGCGGCAUCGGCCGGGAGGUGUCCUCCCACCUGGCCGCCCUCGGCGCGCGCGUCCUGAUCAACUACGCGUCCGACUCGGCCAGCGCCGCCGCGCUCGCCGCGGAGCUCAACUCGCGCGGCCUCCGCGCCGUGGCGGCCCAGGCCGACGUGUCCGACCCGGCCGCCGUGCGCGCGCUCUUCGACCGCGCCGAGGAGGCCUUCGGCUCCCCGCCGCACGUCGUGGUCGCCUGCGCGGGGCUGCUCAACCCCAAGUACCCCGCGCUCGCCGACACCACCGUGGAGGACUUCGACGCCAUGUUCGCGGUGAACGUGCGCGGGACGUUCCUGGUGUGCCGCGAGGCGGCCAACCGCGUGCCGGCCGGCAGCGGCGGCCGCAUCGUGACCUUCUCCUCGUCCAUCAUGGGCACGCUCCUGCCGGGCUACGCGGCGUACACGGCGACCAACGGCGCCGUGGAGGCCAUGACGAGGAUCCUGGCCAAGGAGGUGGCGUCCAAGGGGAUCACGGCCAACGUGGUGGCUCCAGGGCCCGUGCGCACGGAGCUGUUCCUCGCCGGCAAGGACGAGGCGUUCCUCAAGAGAGUGGAGGCCCAGUCCAUGGGGCGCAUCGCCGAGACGACGGACGUGGCGCCGGUGGUGGCCUUCCUGGCCAGCGACGCCGCCGGGUGGGUGAACGGUCAGGUCAUCAGGGUCAAUGGCGGGUUCACGUGA
rnacentral:rRNA from 1 species